GCGUGACGCUGCUGCCGUUCCAACUCCAACAAGGCUUGUGGAGGCUUCAUCCACCUUAAUGCGGACGAAGCCGCUUUGGGAAAUCCUGUCUGGAGAGGGUCCAGGUCCUGCUGGACGAUGAAAUCUGCAUGUCCAUUCAGAUCCUCAGCAGAAGGAAUGCUGAAGUCUAGAACAUUCUGCUAGACUGUUGCAAUGAUUCUGGAUUGAAGACAGCAGGGACACCAGCAACCGGCGCUGGACAUUGCAGCCCAAAUCCUGACUGACUGUGGAGAUUUCACUCUGGACCUCCAGCAGCUUGGGUUCUGCUCCCCAACAAACCCUUGAUUCUCAAAAGAAAGACACACUUUCAUCAGAAAACAGGUCUUUGGACCUCUGGCCAACAGUCCAGUCCUUCUUCUCCUUGUCCCAAUUGAGACGUUUGGUCUGGGCUCAGAAGUGGUUUGACCUAAGGAACCCGGCAGUUGGAGCCUGUCUCCUGAAUGUGGUUUUUGAAGCUGUUCCUCCACCUCAUUCCACUCUUUCUGGAGGCCUGCAGGUUCUUGAAUCUGUUCUUUUGAUAAUCUGCUGAAGUCCGGUCGUCUCUUCUGCUACUGCAUCUUCUCCUGCAACAUUGUGUCCUUCCAUCAGACCUUCUGUGGAUCUGCUCGGACACAGCGCUCCGUGAACAGCCAGCCUCAUUAGCGAGGAACGUAAGUGACUAUGAAGGGGAUCAAUGAUGGUCGUCUGGGCGUCAAGUCUGAAGUCUUCCACAUAUUGAAAUCAUCUGAACCAAUUUAGUGACAUUUGGAGAACCUCUAAGUGCUUUGAGUUUAGCAGAUGAUAAGUUGGUGAAACUCGGUUUAAUACAUCCAUGUGUGGCAACA